CCCGCAUCCGCCACCCGCGCCGCCGUACGCCCCAUCCCCGAUCUUCGCCGCCGCGCCCGCGACCCCCAUCCCACGCUGCCACCCAUCCCCACCGACGCCGCCACACUAGUAUCCCCCACCAACGCCGCCGCCCCAUCCCUAUUCAGGCGGCCGCAGCAACAACCCCGCGGACACACCUACCACCUACGGGCCCCCUGUUUCGCCCCUCACACAGCAGCACCGCAUCUCCUCAGUGCCUGCUCCAUACUGCGUAUCACAUCCUCUCCAUUUGCACUCCCCACAAAUCAGUGGGAGGACGUGCCCAUCUGAAGCAGCAGUAGUAGCAGAACAAGUAGCUACUGCACCGCUUACCUCUGUUUGUGCUCCCCCAGUUUCUGAAGAGGUAUGCAUUUAGAAGUUUCAGUUGUGUGGUUUCGAAUUUUGAACCAUGUUUUGUUGUGCUGUGACAUCCAAGGAUUUUUAGUUCUUCUAAGGUAGUAAAUUUGGCUGGGAGCUAUGAAUCUAAUAGAUGAUGGUAAGGAACAAUGUGUGAUAAGUUAAUACGACAGUCAUGAGAUAAAGGAUAUUUCUUUUGCUGGGAAUCCAAGUGGCUAUAUUCGUUCAUAUUUUUGCUUUUAUGCAAAUGUUCUUAAGUACUCUGAAUAUAGCAUGAUUUGACUAGAUAGGAUCUCUAUUGUUUCUCACACAUAUUUUUAAUUAAUACAUAGAUUGAUAUUUUAGCUAGAGUACAAGAUACCAUUUUACAAAUCCGUUCGAGUUAGUAAUUCAUUUGUAUUAUGUCUAGAUGAUCUCAGUUUUUUUUCUAAGACCUAUUUUUAGUUUAACAGAUAGAUUGAUAAUUUUAAACAAGGUCUUCACGAAUAACAUUUUACUGUUGAUGUUCAGGUCUAGGUUCGCAAGUGGAGGAGGGAUCCAACUUGCAGCCAUAAAUAAUCGAACAAGUACCACUUCAUGGUUAUGGUGAGAUUCUUGAUCCUAGUUGAAGAGUUAAAUUGGUACUUCCAUCGCGUGGUAUCAUUUGACUACAUUUGGAAUAUCUCGUAAUUUUUUUUCAAUCAUUGCAUGAUUGUAUCAUAUGGUGGUAAAAUAUAUUAUGGUGUGAUAAUGGAAAUUCUGGAAUUGGACUAUCACCACAAAGGAUAUAUUGCUCUUUUGAAUGUGAUUGGUUUCACAACCGUAUACACGACAAGUGGGUAAAGAUGCACUAUUGCUAAUUCCGUCUUUUAUAUUGAAGUGUUCCUUCAGAGUACCUCUUUGUUCUUCUAUUUCAGAUUGCAUAACACUUGUACUAAUCCUGAGAUCAUACUUCUUUUCAUGAAAAGAAUGGCAAACAGAGGAGGAUGAGCUGAUGCUGUUAUGCAUGAAGAUUUGCAAAUAGGGAAUGUAAGACAUGUCACAGAAAGGUUGCAUGAAUUCAUUCCAAGUCUUGCGUGGACAAAACAACAAGACAAAGGUGACGGCGGCCUUUGUGUGUUGAUACAUCUUUGCAGAUGUAUGAAGCUAUUUAACAACAAGUUGUGCUUAUCUGUAGGAAAGGCAACACAUCUAAUCAGUCAGCUGUCAAAAUGCCUAGAUGCCGACUAAGAUCUGAGAUCAUAUCACUUACAAAGCAUGACUGGAGGACAUGGCUGCUGAAAACCUGAAUGAUCAUGUGGUACACUUUUCUCACAUUAAAAUGUAUGUAGGUUUCUGAAAUUUGCAAUGUAUUUGACAAUCUUAUAUAUGCAGAUAGAAGUUGAUAGUAAAGUAUGCAGAAGCAACCAUCACAACCGGAAGCAGUCCCCGCAUCUACGAGGUAUUACAUAUUCUUAGAAUUCUGUAAUAUUAGACUAAAGACAAGUUAAUUUUGUUUUCAUUAUCCUCUGGACAAUGCGUAUACGAGCUAGCUCUUCCAAAAUUUAUAUCUUCUGGAUCCCUCGUAUGUUAGGGUCUUGUGGAUGCUACUUUUCUUUAUCUAUAAAGCAGGGUUAUGGCCUGAUUUCUUAAACCAUCAAUAAAAGAGAUCAAGAGAUGCAUAUAUACCAUGGAUGUUGCAACGAUUUACCUUCCUGUAGGCAGCAUUUAACCUGAUUUGCUUGUUCCUGAAACACUCAGGUAAAGGGUUAUCAGAUAUAGAAAUACUUGUAAUAUAAGAAAAAUGAAUAUCCAUGUCCAUCUUUAAUGUUAUCCCAAAAUCUUUGGUGCAAUUAUUCUCUAACUUAUUUCAUAUAUAAAAUUUUCUCUCAUGGUUUAACAAUACUACAUCCAUUUGAGCAUACUAAGAUUCUCUAACCAUGAAAUAUAUUCAGCAAAAAAGGUGGAGCACUUAUCAAAUGAUAUAUUCAUGCUUUAUUGUUUUGUAGUGAAAGAAUAUCUCUUUUGAUAUAUCUCUCCUUUCAAGUAACACAAAACAGUCAGAAACAGUGAUCGACUUGACCAACAUUCUUUUAUUUUGAACAACCUAUAUUCAUUUCAGCAAAUAAUGAUUUAUGGGUGUAUAAAUUUUUUUCUUUUGUUCAAUCACAUUUUUUCCUGAAACCAAGAAGCAGAUAAAAUCAAAGGGUUGUUCAGUUGUUAUACAUUCUCAUAACUAUUGAUUCACACUGUCUAGCAUUAGCACACACUACACAGAACAAACAUGUACAGAAAAACUGAAUGGAGGACACCCUGCAUUGCCACUGGAUUGCUAGUAACUAAUCCUUACCUGCAGUUUUUGGAUGUUCUAUUUACUUCACAGCAAUCAAGAGAAAGUAAUACACCAAAAGAAGAUGACUAUCCGUAAAUAUUUAUAGUGAUAGGUUAUAUCGAUCUUCCUAAUGAUCCAUACAUAUUGCAUGAGUACACACACAUUCUGUUUGUGCCUUGUGCAACGCAAAGUACAGGGCGACACACAUGUUCUUUUCAUUUGAAAUUUUUCUUUUUCUGCCCAUGCUACUUCUACGUUUGGAACAUAUGUUCGUCCGAGCUGAUUUUUUAAUCCAUUUCCUUUUUUGACAGGUCACAGUAUAAUUUCCUUUGCAUCCACAAGUUUCUAGAGGUGUGGUUGUUGAGCUAAAAGGAUCUUCUGCUAGGAUAUUUUUCACUUUUGUCUACGAUGUACUGUAAUACUUAUGAAUCUACAAAUCUAUGUAUGUGUGCAUCUAGACUUGAUAAAUGGUUGUGCUUUUGGCUGUCCUGUUACUGGACUUGUAUGCCCAUGUGUGCAUCUAGGCACGCAUGAUGAAUCUUCUUUGUGCUUUUGGCUAUCCUGCAAUACUGGACUUAUGAACCUACGUAUGCAUGAUGUAGACUUGUGAACUUAUGUAUGGAUGAUGGAUUGCUUAUAUCUAUGCCCAUGUUGUUAUAUAUAUAUUACUGUAUGCAUGUGUGUUAUAUAUAGAUGGCACAAAAUGCAGUGAAGAUAAAUGAUAGCUGUUGGAAUACAUGUAUACAUAUAGGAGAUUAGUGCGUUUGUAGUAGAUGGCAAGUUUUAUUUUUUUGGUUUGUUUUUUCUUUUCGGAUGGCAAUUUUAGUUGUAAAAAAG
rnacentral:lncRNA from 1 species